rnacentral:rRNA from 1 species
CGGCGACGUGUCUUUCAAGUGUCUGCCUUAUCAACUUUCGAUGGUAGUGUAUGUGACUACCAUGGUUGUGACGGGUAACGGAGGAUAAGGGUUUGACUCCGGAGAAGGGGCCUGAGAAAUGGCCACUACGUCUAAGGAUGGCAGCAGGCGCGCAAAUUACCCACUCUCAGAAUGAGGAGGUAGUGACGAGAAAUAACGAGACCGUUCUCUUAGAGGCCGGCMAUCGGAAUGGGUACAAUCUAAACCCUUUAACGAGUAUCUAUGAGAGGGCAAGUCUGGUGCCAGCAGCCGCGGUAAUUCCAGCUCUCAAAAUGCAUAGAAUUAUUGCUGCGGUUAAAAAGCUCGUAGUUGGAUCUGUGCCGCGGGACUUGGUCCACCCUUUGGGUGCGCACUGAGCUCCCCGGCUUUUCUGCUGGUUUUCUCGUCAUGGCCUUUACCGGCUGUGGCGGGUGGCUGGCGAUUUUACUUUGAACAAAUCAGAGUGCUCAACACAGGCGUUUCGCUUGAAUGUUCUUGCAUGGAAUAAUAGAAGAGGAUUUCGGUCCUAUUUUAUUGGUUUUAUAGGCUGAAAUAAUGGUUAAUAGAGACAAACGGGGGCAUUCGUAUCGCUGCGUGAGAGGUGAAAUUCUUGGACCGCAGCGAGACGGACUACAGCGAAAGCAUUUGCCAAGAAUGUCUUCAUUAAUCAAGAACGAAAGUCAGAGGUUCGAAGGCGAUCAGAUACCGCCCUAGUUCUGACCGUAAACGAUGCCAACUCGCGAUCCGCUAGGCAUAUUGAAGCUUGGUGGGGAGCGUCCCGGAAACGAAAGUCUUCCGGUUCCGGGGGAAGUAUGGUUGCAAAGCUGAAACUUAAAGGAAUUGACGGAAGGGCACCACCAGGAGUGGAGCCUGCGGCUUAAUUUGACUCAACACGGGAAAACUCACCCGGCCCGGACACCGUGAGGAUUGACAGAUUGAUAGCUCUUUCAUGAUUCGGUGGAUGGUGGUGCAUGGCCGUUCUUAGUUCGUGGAGCGAUUUGUCUGGUUUAUUCCGAUAACGAGCGAGACUCUAGCCUACUAAAUAGUGGACGGAUUUUUCCGGUCCAUAUCACUUCUUAGAGGGAUUUUCGGUGUACAGCCGCACGAAAUUGAGCAAUAACAGGUCUGUGAUGCCCUUAGAUGUCCGGGGCUGCACGCGCGCUACACUGGUGAAAUCAGCGUGCUUGUCCUUUCCCGAAAGGGAUUGGUAAACCAUUGAAAAUUCACCGUGAUUGGGAUCGGAAAUUGCAAUUAUUUUCCGUGAACGAGGAAUUCCAAGUAAAUGCGAGUCAUCAACUCGCGUUGAUUACGUCCCUGCCCUU